rnacentral:rRNA from 1 species
CUGGCUCAGGAUGAACGCUGGCGGCGUGCUUAACACAUGCAAGUCGAGCGAAGCACUUUUAAGGAAGUUUUCGGAUGGAAUUAAAAGUGACUGAGCGGCGGACGGGUGAGUAACGCGUGGGUAACCUGCCUCAUACAGGGGGAUAACAGUUGGAAACGACUGCUAAUACCGCAUAAGCGCACAGUGCUGCAUGGCACAGUGUGAAAAACUCCGGUGGUAUGAGAUGGACCCGCGUCUGAUUAGGUAGUUGGUGAGGUAACGGCCCACCAAGCCGACGAUCAGUAGCCGACCUGAGAGGGUGACCGGCCACAUUGGGACUGAGACACGGCCCAAACUCUUACGGGAGGCAGCAAUGGGGAAUAUUGGACAAUGGGGGAAACCCUGAUCCAGUGACGCCGCGUGAGUGAAGAAGUAUUUCGGUAUGUAAAGCUUUAUCAGCAGGGAAGAAAAUGACGGUACCUGACUAAGAAGCCCCGGCUAAUUACGUGCCAGCAGCCGCGGUAAUACGUAGGGGGCAAGCGUUUUCCGGAUUUAUUGGGUGUAAAGGGAGCGUAGACGGCGAUUCAAGUCUGGAGUGAAAGCCCGGGGCUCAACCCCGGGACUGCUUUGGAAACUGUGUUGCUGGAGUGCAGGAGAGGUAAGUGGAAUUCCUAGUGUAGCGGUGAAAUGCGUAGAUAUUAGGAGGAACACCAGUGGCGAAGGCGGCUUACUGGACUGUAACUGACGUUGAGGCUCGAAAGCGUGGGGAGCAACCAGGAUUAGAUACCCUGGUAGUCCACCCCGUAAACGAUGAAUACUAGGUGUGGGGGAGCUAAAGCUCUUCGGUGCCGCAGCUAACGCAAUAAGUAUUCCCCCUGGGAGUCUUAAGCC